rnacentral:tRNA from 2 species
GCCCUAGUAGCUUAAACAAAGCGCCGGUCUUGUAAUCCGGAGAUUAAAGGCUAAAACCCUUUCUAGAGCC